GUUACAGUGGCCGAGUGGUUAAGGCGACGCCCUGCUAAGGCGUUGGGUUCUGCCUGCGCAGGUUCGAAUCCUGUCUGUAACG
rnacentral:tRNA from 1 species